CAAAUAAGCCAGAUCCACAGAUUCCACUCUAUAAGAAUUGCAUGUUUAUCCCGCUAAAUGUACAUAGCAAAGGAGAAGAGAUGCCCUGGUCAUAUCAGUCAUUCCGAUGCAGUUCUGACUGAUCCCACCACAGGCAGCUCAAAUUCCAUUAAAUUGCAGAGUGUGGAUGGGCAAUACUUAAAGAGGCCCUCCAACAACGCAGCACGCUGAUGCGCCUGACCUGACAUAUUCCUGCCUUGAAAAUCCUCUUCAAACAUCCAAAUAUUUCAGAGAAGUGGCAUGGUACAAUAAUGAACUCAAGGUGAAUAAAGAAUUAAGACAGAGGCCAAAGAAAAAAAAAGAGCAAAAAGGCAGGCACUCCUUGGAACAAAAAGGGUUGUGUUGAGUCUUUAAAACAUCAUGCUCACUAUGGACUGGAAAGCCUUAGACUUGGGCAACGAGGUCGUGAUAGGAAACAUAAGGAGGAGCCACAACAGUAUCUUGCAACAUUUCCUUUCUUCUCUUGCUAUUUUCUAGCUGAAGGGAAAUUCUAAAUACAGAGAAGGAAAAAGGGAGACACAGAGAGAGAGCAGAGAUAGAAGAGAGGGGGAAAGAGAGAGAAUUCUGAGCCAGCUGAGACUCAGAUGGCCCGAGAGCUGCUGGGUGUAACAAAAGGACUGAAGGAGUACACUGAUUGAAUUGCUGGCCAGUGGAAAAAAAAGAGAGAGGUCAAAUAACAGUGGAAGUGCCACCUCUCAGCACAAGCGCUAAGACACUACCAUCUGACACAUUCUUCUGGAAAAUUUCUCGCAACAGAAUACUGUGCGUUUCACCGGCUGUGAGUGUUUAAGAGGGCCACAGGGGCAGCGUGGACACGCACAACAGUGGCAGAUCGGGACACAGAGUAAAAAAGCUGGUGAAAAGAGCAACCCAGCUGCAUCCCUCCUCCUAUGCGGCCACGGCUACACAAAGCCUUCCAGUUCCCUGGAUAAUUCAAGCCCUGGCUGGAUGCUAAUCCCACAAAGGUGCUUAGUGAUGUGUGUCCAGCUUAGAAGUGAGCUGUAAGAUAAUAUUUACAUCACAACUGAGUGCCAGGCGCAAAUAAAAGGAGAGAGGCCCGGCAAUGGUGAGCUAAAUCAACGAAUUUACUGUACCAGAUGUAACCUUAGCAGCGGUCUCUCUCUCUCUCUCUCUCUCUCUCUGUGUGGAUGCUUUGAGCUAUGCAACCUUACCCACACAAAUGGCUCGACUCACAAACCAACAAAGAGGGUUCAUCAAGUUUGGCAACCCAGGUGUGUUGCACAUUUACCAUGGCAGGUAUAAAGAACAGCUCUUUUUCAACUUUUAUAAUUCCUGAUAAUUCCAAAAACAGUGGAUUUCACAGCAGCUCUCUGGGAGUCGUCAUAGUUUUCCAGGUCAGACACAGCGCAAGAUUGUGUAUGGCAGAGCAUUUGAACUUCUUUUCACUCUAAUUCAUAGGCCACAUCUAUCAGUGUGCGAUCAGGCCCAGCUCGCGAGGAGGAAGCCGAGCAGGUCUGAGGUUAAUGAAUCCCUGUAGUUGGUAUAAACCUCAGCGCUCAAUUGUUUAGGCAUCUUUGACAAGGGCUUUAAAGGCCAUGUUUGACCAGACCUUUUUAUUAAAUAAAUUUGUCAAAAGAUGUUGAUCAUUUUUUGUGUAAUUAAAAAAUAAAUAAAUAAAAAAAUUUAGUAUGGACAAACACAUAAUAAUGUAACAGGAAACAGGCAGGAAAAAAAAGAAAGUAUAAUUUUUUUGGCAGUUUUCCCAAUCUGUAUUUUUAAAACCCAGUCCAAUUAACAGCAUGCUUUAGGGGUAAACUAUACUGACUGAGUCUUUAGUUACCACCUCCCCACCUGAAUAUGUCUGGCUUUGAUGCAUAAAUAACCUGUCAGUGAUCUCAGGGACCAGUGGUGAGAGACGAAGCUUCAAUGAUUCAAUUUCUCUGCGCGAUUAGUCCCACAUGUAUGAGGCUUUUGGUUCGAGUUUACUUUGAUCUACUUGUGGGCUAACGAUUUUGAUUAGUGUUCUUCGAGCGCAGAUGCAGAGUCACAGCAUGAGCUAAAUUUUACAAGAUUUGAUUUGAAUAUUCCUGUUGAGGAAAUCAAGGAAAUAAACGCGAGCAUAAAUUUUGCACACUUUGACCGCCAAAGAUGCAAAACAAAUAUUUGCGAGGAACACAAAAGAUCGCAGAGGAAUAUUUUAAAAACUUGAUAUGUAAUAUUUAUCUUUAGAAAGAUCAUCAUAUCCUUGCCCAUGUUAGAAUAAACAAACAUUGCUUUCUUGGAUUCUCAGGGAGCAAAACACACAACGGUACCGAAAUACCGACUGCCAAAUAGACCAACUGCUGCAAUGCAAAUCAGAGAGUGGAAAGAGAAGGCCGCUACAGCCGGGUGCCCUACGAAAACCUUUGCAGCUCCCAUUUCACAUCGUUAUCAAUCAUUUUUUUGUUCCUUCGCUGCAUUUCAAGUGGCUAAUUCCAGCACUGAAACCCAAUAGCUGCCGCCUGUGCAUUUUAAAGGUCAGGGAGCUAGCCAACCUGCAGCCCUUGAGGUCACCUAUACCAUACGGCUGGGAAGGCUUCCACACACACAUUUACACAUAGUCUAGGACAAACACACACACGCUAACACUCACACAAACACUCACACACACACACAGACAGUCUCUUGGGCUGCACAAACCCAUGGCCAAAUGAUAAAUAGCAGUAUGGCUGUCAUGGCUCUUCUGCUGCAUUGCCCAUCUUUAAGGUGUCUAUUUCUUCAGAAAGUACAGUAAAAGUAUAAUUUAGUUUUUGUGUGAGUACAGAUAAAGACAGACAGAUGAAUGGAUGGCUGCUAUCAUUCUUUAAUAAAUCUCCCAAUGGCACCACAUGGGAAAGCUAAACACUGCCAUCUAGAGUUAUUGAACUCAUCAAAACGCAGCACAGCCACUUGUAUAGAUGAAUCAAAAGCUGAGGAAUGGAAAUGAUUUGCUUAAUGGUAAAUGUACACAGAAGAACUAGCAUACACAGGAAACACGACCUUAUAAUAUUAUGCACUUUUUGUAUAAUUUAUGAUCACUAUGCUUAAUUGCAAAAUACAUCCGAUAUAAAAGAAUCUGAAAAUUUUGUUUCAUGCAUGAAUUCUUAAUGUUCAGAAAGCAUGCAUAACCAAAUUCCAGUUUGAACAUUUCUGACUGAAAAUAAUUCUUUUUGUGUCAGAAUUGCUGAAAUCCACUCCAAUUCAAAUUAAAGAAUUUGUAAAAUGGUAUCUGUAGGAGUGGGUUUCAGCAAUUAUAAUUAGAUUUGCAUAUAGACAUACAAACGAAAACAAGGCCAAUUUCUUUGAGAGAAUGUGUCAGCUUUGUAGCUGUGUGUCAUCUGAAAGCACGCACGUCCGGGCUGCAUGUUGCAACAAGGGGGAAUUGGCCGUCAGAAGGUUGCAGAGACAGCCGUAAGAUCAAACGGGCGCGUCUGAGUGCACCUUCAAAUGGGCCUCUGUUUGUGUACACUCUCUGAUCCAGAUCACUUCCAUUCAUUCGCUCGCUCUACACGGGAAGAAAGAGCCGAGGUCUGGCUUAUGUCGCCUUUCAAGGGAAAAGGUGACCAAGCUCAUCUUGAAAUGAUCAGGGUGGGAAUGGGAGAGAGAGAAAAAGAGAGAUGGAGAGGAAGAAAAGAAAGAUAGAAAGGAACUGAGAUGAGAUAGGGAGGCACUUUGGCCACUCGGUAGGUACCAUCCCUGUAAAUGCUUCUGACUCAUGGCUCCUUCAACGGCUGCCAAUCACCUACAAACACACUCCACACCCUCUCCCGCAGGGUGGCAAUUAGGCCACAUCUCCUGAAACCCUAAUAACUGUGCAUUUUCUACACCUCACAAACCUAGCAACACAUUGUGCUGUGUUUAAUUGCCAUUGAGUAUGUGGUGGCCAAAAGAAGCAGGGAUGUGACCAUGUGUGCAGAGGUCAUGUGCUCUGGACAAUGACUGAAAAGUUUGAUUGCCGAUUUAAUAACUGUUGUGCAUUGUGUGUGUGUGUGUGUGUGUGUGUGUGUGUGUGUGUGUGUGUAAGCAUGCUUUUAUAUCUUGGUGGGGAAAAUCUGACAGUUUUGAUCUUCUGCAGAUGUUUGGAUGGACUGUAGGAGGAGACAGCUUUUCUUGACAAAAACUGCAGCUUUUAUUUAAAAAAAAAACCCUAAAAGAGCCAAAAGGUUACUUUUUUCUUACUGAGGUUAAGGUUAAGCCUUAAUUAGUUACAUUAAUAAUCAUGUCAAAGGAAGGACCUGACAAGGAUAGCAAGACAUUCUUGUGUGUGUGUGUGGGUGGGUGUUUGUGUGUGUGUACGGGGCGGCCUGUUUUUAUGUCUUGGUAGGAAUCUGACAGUCUUGUCCCUGUCAAAAAAAAAUAAAAGAGCCAAAAGUUCCUCACAAGGAUAGUGAUUUUGUGUGUGUGCAUGUGUUUUUAUAUCUUGGUGAAAACCAAAUGACCUCACAAGGACAGGCACCCUCCUGUCACUGAGGACAAAGACUCCCACCAACCCUUCUACAGAUAUAAUUACUGUAUUGGUUGAAAAAAAUUCUUUUUCCCCUGUAUUUGUAUGUGCAUGUAUGUGCAUGUGCGUGCAUGUGUGUGUGUGUGUUACUAUUCAGCAAAGUAAUCUGUGCUUUAAUGAGGCUGAGCGCUGCAAGGGGUCUACCACCCCUGUACGGCAGGCCUGUAAAAGCCGCCACGCAAAAUUCAUAACCAUAAUAAACCCCCCUCCCAGCCAGAGUCCACCCUCAUGGACCUGGGACACAUUAUUGUGAAUGUAUAUUUUAUCUGGCUUUCUCUCUGCCUUUCUCCCUCUUUGUCUAUCUUCCUCUGUCCCUCAAUCUUUCUGUGUACACUGAAUAUCUCCCUUUCCUUUUGCCUUUGCAUUAUUCAUCAUGCCAGCUUAACAGCUCCAGUGUGACCGGCUUCUGCAAAGACUUGGAAAAAAAGGAGGGGAGGGAAAAAAACAGAGAGUGGGCCCAGGGGGCAAUGAUAUCAGUGUUGCACCGCAGCAUUUGACUAAUGGGUGUUCGCGUCCCUCCGGAAUCCUCCUGACCUCUGGAGGGGGCUAUCCUUCCUAGCAACAUAGGCCUGAAUCACAUCGCCCUGAAAAUUAGCAUGCCAACAGCAGCAGUCACUAAAGAACCAAACAACAGUGGCUAACCACAUCUAGUGGAGAAACUGAGGCUUCUCGAGUUACGCUGUUUGGGCGUCCUCACUCAUGUAAAUGCCCCAAAUGUUUUGAAUGUCAAAGGGAGGUAAAAGCGGUUGUCAAAAACCCAGGGAAUUAAGAUAAGGAUCGUAACAAAACCUGCCUUUUCUCUCCGCGCGGCACAAUGCCGUGUGUCUGACGAGCUUGAACGUUUUGCCGAGCUGCUCUGCCUCCUAUCGUGUUCCCGUCAUACAUCUGACGAAGAGAGAAGCACUACGGAAUAAUUUUAGCAGGUGUAUGCUUGGAAGCUCCAUGCAAAUAUUAUAAUGUGUUUUAAAUAAAACUCUUGGAUUUUUUUGGCUUCAGUUCAAGUAGUUAAUACUGCUAUGCGAGUGGUAUUCUUGUUAGUCUGUCUGCUUGCGUACAUUUACAAAACCGUAAUGGCUGAUGAUAUUGAGAAAUAAAUCUGAAUUAAGCCUAAAAGGCUAAAAAAAAAACAUAAUUACUUUGUAACAUAAUUACCGAGUUUAAUGUGAAGGACAUUUCCUUGAAAUAUGUGCCAUGCAAGAGGGGAAAAAAAAAAUCCUGUUCUACAUUUACACAUCAUCUACCUUUCAGAUGAGUGUGCAUAUGUGCACAAAAUUGAUUUGGGACAUAGUUUUGUUCCCUCGUUAGGUUCGCUUGCACUCGGGAGUUCGCAGGCUGUCUGAAGCCAGGCAGGAAAAGGGCCUUGCUAACACCAUUAGAGGCUGAGGGCUGGGACUGCUAUCAGAGCGGCUGCCUAAUCUAGGCUGACACCAAUCAGGCAAGCCAAGACUCUGUGAUGGAAACCAUCUGCACAAGAAAAGGGAAAUAAAUAAUGCCUUGGAAAUAAUAAUAACAACAACAACAACAACAAUAAUAAUAAUAAUAACAAAAACAACAACGAUAAUAAUAAUAAUAAUAAUAAUAAUAAUAAUAAUGAUAGUAUUACUUUAAUUAUUCAUCAAUUAUUCAUUUUUUUUUUAUCACAGUAUUCACAACACAAUUUUUUGUGGAAAUCCCUAUGUAUACAUUUAUUACUAUUAUGAAUAUUAAUAUUGCUUUUAACUUAAAUUACAUUUUAUAAUAGUUAGAAUAUAGAAUUUUCGUUAGUCAUAACGUGAUUAUUGUGCUAGCUAAACAUUAUUAAUCCAUUAUGUAUGUUAUAACAGUGCUCAAACUAAUAUGUCUCUCCCCUGUUUUAAAAGUUACUUGUUGUCUCCUGAGUUUGGAAGUGUCUCCUGACUAAUCUCUCGAAAUCGGAAAUAAAUGUGUACUGCUGUAAAUGUAGCGUGAAAGAGAAACAGCUUUUUUUCCCCCUCUGUGCAGAACUUGCGGGGAUGUUAAUUGAUGACAGUUUGCGGUGGGCUGCUAGUAGCACCAAGAGAUCAUUAGCAUCGAAGUGUAACAACUGUAUCUACCACUGUUUGCACUCUUCCCCAUUCACAGAGACUCUAAGACCUACGAGGACCCAGUCUGUGAACUCCAGCUUCAUUCAGCAUUCAGCCAACAUGGCCACGGUCUGAAAACUACAAGUCUCAACCAAAGAAACCAGAGAAAAACAAUCCAUGCGUGUUUAAACUUUCAAGCUUCUAUGAAGAAUUUAUUAGGAGUUUAUGAAAAAGUAGAAAAAUGCAGGAAAAAAAACUUUUUUUUAAUAAUAAAAAUAUUUACUAUUUAGAAGGCAGCUCAUAUCCUGGAGUCAAUUGGAGGGGAAAGGAAAAGGGUAGAAGCAGGAUUUUUUUUUUUUUUUUUAAGCACUUUGGGUUAAAGGAUUUGGGUCAUGCUUUAACUGGCUGACAUCGGUGUGGGACAGAAAGAAAACCUGACAUGGAAUAUUCAGAAACAAGCAUGCCAUAAAUCCAUAACACCCCUCACCACCACCACCACUACUACCCACCCAUACACACACAAAACUAAAAAAAGAAAGAAUUCUAGCAAUCGUGGGCCCCAGCCAUUGCUGAAAUUACAGUCCUGACCUACAUUUUUUGUGAGUCUGAGAGAAAGAGAAACAGACAGAGAGAGAGUGAGAGAGAGAGACAGAGAAAAAGAGUGGAACGUAGCAUAAGCAAUAUUACCCUCAUGUUUACGUGAUUAGUCGCAUCCUGUUUAUCACUACUAUCUUAAAAGAGACUCAGUUUUUUAACGAGAUGCUCCAGACAGCCUUCUGCCUCUAAUCUUCAGCUUCCACAUACCUGAAACAUGUGCUGCACCCCAUUCCAGCUUUACAGCUCACAUAUACACACUUAAAGGGUGAAGAAUUUCAGAUUAAAAAUUUAUCAGGAAAUAAAAACACUUCAGGCACUGACUAUACUACCCGUUUUCUCUAUUCAGUUGCCCAAAGACUGUAAAAUUACUGUACAUUUAGGAGCUCUAAUCUCAAUACAAACAACAUUCAAGGUAAAAGUUCCAUUUAUCACAUCUAUUUCCGCAACACAGACUUUUUCUAGUAUAUCUACAAUAAAUAAAUGUAUGUGUAAUUUUAUAUAUAAGCAGAACAGCUAGGAAAUAACGGCAGUGUACUUCAGUGGCUGUAGUAAAAGCUUAAGCACAGUACAUAGAGUUUCCAGAGAAACAGGAUUUUGCUUGCACAGCUAAUGAAAGAUUUUUCUCCUGUUUCUCUGGAACCUUUGUGUAAUAUGCAUAAUCAUAAACUUACUACAUCUGCUGGUUCUCUGCACAUUCUUCUUCUUCCUGAUAUGUAGAACACUUUAAUAGGAACACCUGCUCAUUCAUGCAAUUAUCAGCCAAUCAUAUGUCAGAAGCACAAUGCAUAAAGUCAUGCAGGUCAAGAGCUUCAGUUAAUGUUCACAUCAAACAUCAGAAUGGGGAAAAUUUUGAUCUCAGUGACUUUGACCUUGGCAUGGUUGCUGGUGCCAGACAGGCAGAAACGCCCCGUUGAUGAUAGAGGUAGAGGAGAAUGGCCAGGUUAGUUCCAGCUGAUCGGACAGGUAUUGUAUCACAAAUAAUGACUCUUUACAGCCAUACUGAACAGAAAAGCAUUUCAGAAUGCAGAAUAUACCCAACCUUGAGGCAGAUGAGUUACACAAGCAGAGGACCACAUUGGGUUCCACUCCUGUUAGUCAAAAACAGUAAUCUGAGACUACACUGGCACAGGCUCACCAAAACGGGACAGAUGAAGAUUAGAAUAAGACCAAGAGUAAACGCUUUUCCAAUGUUCAAAUGUCCCAGUUAGGUCCCAUUCG